rnacentral:rRNA from 1 species
AUACGUAGGUGGCGAGCGUUGUUCGGAUUUACUGGGCGUAAAGGGCGCGUAGGCGGGCCUUCAAGUCGGUUGUGAAAACCUGAGGCUUAACUUCAGGCCUGCAUCCGAUACUGUUGGUCUUGAGUGCGGGAGAGGAAAGCGGAAUUCCAGGUGUAGCGGUGAAAUGCGUAGAUAUCUGGAAGAACACCAGUAGCGAAGGCGGCUUUCUGGACCGACACUGACGCUGAAGCGCGAAGGCUUGGGGAGCAAACAGGAUUAGAUACCCUGGUAGUCCAAGCGGUAAACGAUGGGCACUAGGUGUCGGGGGUAUCGACCCCCUCGGUGCCGCAGCUAACGCAUUAAGUGCCCCGCCUGGGGAGUACGGCCGCAAGGUUGAA